GUGCCAUCCGUCAGUGAAACAGACAGGAGGAAACAGGCUGUUUAUAGAGAAUGUAGCUUAUAUCCAGACACAAAUCUCUAGAUAACCCUCAAUAAUAGGAAGGGAACAUGCAGAAGAAGAGUAUGACAGUUAAAUAGUCUGCGAUAGAGCUAAGGAAACAGUGAAAUUCAUCCUGAGAAUUAAUCCAGCCAAGGCCUGUGCACCAUUUAAAUCUCAUGUCAGCCCUCUGCUUGGCAAUGAACUUCAUCCAUUGUGACUAACCAUCUGAUUUCAUGGAGCUCCCAUGUUAAUUAAAUUUCAUGUAAU